GAAAGGAGGAACCCGCCUGCUCCGGCCCUUACCGUUUCUUUCAGAUUCCCAAAAAUCAUCUCCCAAUUUAUGGGAAAAUGCGGGUCCAUUUCGCAACCCGAAUCCGAUUCGCGAACCCGUUCCCGAACCUGAAUCCGAGCCCGUUUUGAUACGCGUCCCCGACCAUCCUCCUCCGCCUCCUCAAGCUCCCUCCUUCCCCAGCCGGAUCGCCGCCAUCGUCUGCCGCGGCUCCGCGAAAAUGGUGGAAACGGCCCGCUCCACCAAUCCGAAGCGACCCGUUUGCCCGUCCUGCUCCAAGCCCCCGCGCACGUGCCUCUGCACCCGGAUCCGAUCUCCGCGUCUCGACCACCCCGUCCGCGUCACCGUCCUCCAGCACAGCCUGGAGCGGAAGCACCCCCUCAAUUCCACCCGAAUCUUGACGCUCGGGCUCAAGAACGUCGCCGUCGCCGCCGUUUCCGACGUCAACUCCGGCGCCGAGUUCUCGAUCUCGCCGCUCGAGCAAGACUCCGAAAUCAGCGCCAAUGGAUUGGUAUCUGGAGUGGAGGUGGGAAGCCCUAAUUCGGUCGUCGAAUCGAAUGGAGCUUAUCGUCCUGGGGAUGAUAGGGACUGCGGUUCGAUUGCCCCGAACGGUGGGGAGGUUUCGGAGGAUUCCCAGGUGCCGCAGAACUCGCGCGCUUGUGGAGUCUUGUCUAGAAGUACUAGCAAACCCGUUAUCAGUUUUCGAAUGGGCAAGAAGGGGAUUAUCUAAUCGAUAGACCAUGUUUGGAUGUCUCGAAUCGGUCAUCAAGGAGCUGAUUUCGAUGCCAUAUUAGAAUGUGAGUCGGCUCGUGAUGUUCUGUGGAAUGGAUUUGUGGUUAAGAAGUUGCAAACCCUUCUAUCAAACCUGAGCUUGGAGCCUGAAGAGUGUGAGGAAUUUGUGCUGGAGGUGCCGCAAGGGUCAGUGCUUCUGUUCCCGACCGAGAAUGCACUCAGCAUUGACGAACUCAAGGCAGCUGAGUUCAAAGUCAGGAACUUGAUUGUGCUGGAUGGCACGUGGAUGAAGGCGAAAAGAAUCUACAGCGAGAAUCCUUGGUUGAAGUUGUUGCCUCAUCUGAAGUUGGAUUCGGAGGUGAUGAGCUUGUACGGAGAAGUUAGAAGUUAGAAGUCAGCCUAAGGCUGGAUGUUUGUCCACUCUCGAGAGUGUCAUUUACACGAUGAAGGCGGUUGGGGGCAGUCCGGAGGGGCUGGAUCAACUGUUAGAUGUUUUCGAGUCAAUGGUUGAUGAUCAGAGACGAUGUAAAGAUGAAAGAUUGGGCAAAUCAGAGAAUCUCUAUGCAGAUUCGACAAAUCUAAAAAGAUGACAGGAUUAGAGG